UUUUAUUAUCUUUUGUCUUUCUGUUUCUUAUGCGUAUUUGCUCUUGUCGAUUUUGUCGGUUGUCAUGGAAAGUUUUUGAAUGCAUCUAGUUAUUUGCUCUUAAUCCGCUAACAAUAUAUUAGUUCGUAAUUUUAGUAUAUGUUUUAAUUUUUUCAGGCUACGCCAUCCUGUUUUUAGCCUUGUUCGAUUGUUUUCAUUUCUUGUAUUAAACUCAAGGUUCCGGAUGCGCCCCCAGAGGGAGAUGCGCGUAAAAUCCGAUCCGGAUCCAGAUCUGUUUUAAGUUAUUUAAAUAACUUAAAAUUAUUAUGCCAAAAAUUUAUAUAUUGGUCCAUAAAAAGAGCUAUAUUAUUUUUAAUAAAAGCUCCUCCCAC
rnacentral:lncRNA from 1 species